rnacentral:siRNA from 1 species
GCUGCGGCCGACGCAAUGUUAUGC